AUAUUUCAAACAAAUAUAUUUACUGAUAGAGAUGCAAUUUCACUGUUAAAUUGGUCAUGGUCAGAGUUAACUUUUCAUAUUUAUUUUACGUGUGCUCGAUG